GUUUCUCCUUCUCCUAGGCCACUAGCCCUCAGGAACCACUGGCCAGCACACUGGUCAGACAUGAUGCUACAGGACUGAGGCCGAGAGCUGCAAUCAUAGUUGUAAUAGCGGCCUGGAGUGGAGGGAGGGCAAAAGUCCGGUUCCGGAGCUGACAUGAUCGAAGUAGUGGCAGAGCUGAGCCGGGGUCCUGUGUUCCUGGCGGGGGAGGCGCUGGAGUGUGUGGUGACGGUCACCAACCCGCUGCCCCCCACGGCCACCUCGGCAUCCAGUGAGGCUCUGGCCUGGGCCAGUGCACAGAUCCACUGCCAGUUCCAUGCCAGUGAGAGUCGAGUCGCACUGCCUCCCCCAGACUCCAACCAGCCAGAUGUUCAGCCUGAGAGCCAGACUGUCUUUCUACCACACCGAGGUGAGAGGGGUCAGUGUAUCCUUUCCACUCCACCAAAAAUCCUAUUCUGUGACCUGAGGCUAGAACCAGGGGAGUCCAAAUCAUACUCCUACAGCGAAGUGCUGCCCAUAGAGGGACCACCCUCCUUCCGAGGUCAGUCAGUUAAGUAUGUCUACAAAUUGACCAUUGGCUGCCAGCGUGUCAACUCACCCAUCACACUACUCAGGGUCCCUCUGAGGGUUCUUGUGCUGACUGGCCUUCAGGAUGUCCGGUUUCCCCAGGAUGAGGCUGUAGCCCCAUCCAGUCCAUUCUUGGAGGAGGAUGAAGGGGGGAAGAAGGAUUCAUGGCUAGCUGAGCUGGCUGGGGAGCGCCUCAUGGCUGCCACAUCCUGCCGCAGCCUCCAUCUAUACAAUAUCAGUGAUGGCCGAGGAAAAGUUGGGACAUUUGGCAUCUUCAAAUCUGUAUACAGACUUGGCGAGGACGUGGUGGGAACCUUAAACUUAGGGGAAGGAACUGUAGCUUGUUUGCAGUUUUCAGUAAGUUUGCAGACCGAGGAGCGUGUACAGCCAGAGUACCAGCGGCGCCGCGGGGCAGGGGGUGCCCCCUCUGUGUCCCAUGUGACUCAUGCCCGACACCAGGAGUCCUGCCUCCAUACAACCAGAACCAGCUUCUCCCUCCCCAUCCCUCUCAGCUCCACCCCAGGCUUCUGCACUGCCAUUGUGUCCCUGAAGUGGCGAUUGCAUUUUGAAUUUGUAACAUCCCGAGAACCAGGUUUGGUGCUCCUACCUCCUAUGGAACAGCCCGAGCCUGUCACCUGGACAGGGCCUGAGCAGGUGCCUGUAGACACCUUCAGCUGGGACCUCCCCAUCAAGGUGCUGCCCACAAGCCCGACCCUGGCCUCAUAUGCAGCCCCAGGCCCCAGUACCAGCACCAUAACCAUCUGAAACUGGCCCACCACAGCACUACUUUCUUCAGGAUCCUGAGAACUCGGCACCUGGACUCUAGUCUUCCUGGUUGCUCCAGCUUUGCUUCCGCUCUUGGCCUCAUGAUGCCAACACAAAUAGGGAGGCCUCAGGUUACCCGGACAACUGGAGCACAGGAAACCGUAAAGGCGCAGCCCUCCCACAAGGAGUCAGACUGUGGCCAUGCCCGCUUGCUUUCACCGAAGGGACUCACUCAUACUUCCUACUCCCCGUUCUCCAACUACCCAGUAUAGCAGAUACCCAGGCCCAAGUCACAGACCCUGAUUUUGCAGACCUGGUAGUGGAAUAUGGAAUGAAUGGGAUGAAGAAAGGUGAAUGGAGCUUUUUCACAUUGAUAGUCCCUGUUACCUUGAUGAUAAUUGAGUUUUGUACUGGUGAGAAUUAGAUUCCCCUGAAAGUUGAUAAGAUUAUGAGCUGUAGAGUCCCAGUUGCUUCAUUGGACCUUGAGUCUUGGAUCUCUUUGCAUUCCUGGCUAGAUGGUUUUACAAUUGGCUUUGGGUCAAAGAUUUAGCAAUCUACUUCUGAUACACUGGGAGCAGUGUAUGUUUAGCAAGAAAAGAAUAGUCAACGUAUUAUGAAUUUGGGUUCUAUUUACAUUUCAUUACGAAACUAGACAUUUAAAGGAAGAUUAUCUGUUUUGAGUAAGUAUUUAAACAUUUGUACAUCAUAAGCGUCUAUAGACACAAGCAGCAGAGCUUUUUUUAAUUAAAUUCAAAAAAAUGUGGCAGUUAACUGGUUAAACCCACAAGUAAAUGAAAAUCUACUUGCAUUUAGAUGCUUAGAAACUGUUGAAUUGAUCCAAAACCAGAGUAGGCCACCUCCGUGGACCAUGCAUGGCAGGUCAGAGCGAGAGAGAAUCCAGGGUGACAAGGCAGACUGGAUAGCCCUUUUCAAACAGUUGAAAGACUGUCCUGUGGAAGGGUUAGAUUUUUUGGUUUGGUUCCAGAGGUGGAAUACAGACCUUUAUUUCAGAUAACAGUGAUGGGGCACAGAAUUUGGCUUAAUAAGGAAGAACAUUUAAGUAGUUAGAGGACCUCAAAUUGGAAUGAGCUGACAUUAGGCAAUGAAUUACUUGUGACUGAAUUGUUUAUAUGGAGGUUAGAUUAUCAUUGCACAAGGUUUGGAUGAGAUUUUGGACAUUAAUUUGAGUUUGGCCUAUAAAGGGAAGCAGGCAAAUUUAUUGGAAGUCAGUUCACCCUUUCUAUUAUAUGAUUUUGUGGCAGCUAUUAACGUCAUUACUAUUUUCCUGGGUACCUCUCUUUGCUAAUUUUACCCCUUGAGUCAUUGAAUAUUAGAGCUGAUAGUAGAGUCUUUAGAGAUUUAUCAAAUGUUGUUCUCUAGUCCUCUGGCGAUUCCUCAAGAAUGCCUCAAGGGUGGCUGAGAGGUGAAAUUAAGGAUAGCUGGCGCUAUUAGCCUGUUAGCCAUGCUUCUGUGAGAACAAUCUUGCCUUUAAAAUUUUUUUCCAGAAAAAAAAAGAGUUCUGAAAAAUACUCUUAGAGGCCCCAGUAUUCCAAGUUCUUCAUUUUAUUGACAGGCAAACUGAGAUAUGGAGCAGAGAAGUGCCUUGCCAAAAGGUCACAUAGCUAAUAAAUUUCACAGUUGGAAUUCAAAUCUAGCUCUUCUAAUUCCAGUCAUUUGUGUGUUUUUUCCCCUCUACGAGUCUACCUUCUUAUAAUUCAGUAAAAGUUUCUCUCCAUUUCACUGGCCACAACAAUAGUCCAGAAUUUUAUUUCUUCAGCUUUACUAUUUCCUAUUCGUCACUGAGCUAGUCUCCCUGUUAUCCAAUCUCUCCUUCUUCUGGUCUAUAUCAUCUACACUGUUGCCAUGUUAUUCUUCAUGAAACAUAGUCUUCAUCAUGAGAUUUCCCUGCUUAAGAACCUUCUCCAUAUUGCUGAAAGGAACUUUUCAGCCUGACACAUUGUUAACAUUCUUUAGGAUCUUCAUUGUUCAGCUAAGCUGAGCCCAAGUCCAUCCUAUUAUGGGUAAUUAAUGGGCCAUAUAAUAGUGAGAUUAAUUGAGCCCCACCCUACCUCUAGACUCCAACUUUGGCAGAAUUUUUAUGUGUACAGUUUUAAUUAGGGAUAAUGAGAAGAUACAAAAGAAAUAGAAGACUAGAAAAAAAAUAGAUCUCAUAAAAAGAAGUUGCAUAACAAUGUUUUAUAUAAUCCUAUUUGUAGUACACAUACAUACAUAAAAAACACACAAAAAUGAGGUGUAUAGAAAUUAGAAGAAAACACACCAAAUUGAUAACAGACCUUAACUUUGAUGAGAUGGAUUGAGAAAGGAAAGAGCUUGGGGAGGAAUAAAAAAUAUAUUUUAAAAAAUA